rnacentral:rRNA from 1 species
UAAAGAAUUUCGGUUAUCGAUGGGGAUGCGUUCCAUUAGUUAGUUGGCGGGGUAACGGCCCACCAAGACGACGAUGGAUAGGGGUUCUGAGAGGAAGGUCCCCCACAUUGGAACUGAGACACGGUCCAAACUCCUACGGGAGGCAGCAGUGAGGAAUAUUGGUCAAUGGACGAGAGUCUGAACCAGCCAAGUAGCGUGAAGGAUGACUGCCCUAUGGGUUGUAAACUUCUUUUAUAUGGGAAUAAAACAGGGUAUGCAUACCCUCUCGUAUGUACCAUAUGAAUAAGGAUCGGCUAACUCCGUGCCAGCAGCCGCGGUAAUACGGAGGAUCCGAGCGUUAUCCGGAUUUAUUGGGUUUAAAGGGAGCGUAGGUGGAUUGUUAAGUCAGUUGUGAAAGUUUGCGGCUCAACCGUAAAAUUGCAGUUGAAACUGGCAGUCUUGAGUACAGUAGAGGUGGGCGGAAUUCGUGGUGUAGCGGUGAAAUGCUUAGAUAUCACGAAGAACUCCGAUUGCGAAGGCAGCUCACUGGACUGCAACUGACACUGAUGCUCGAAAGUGUGGGUAUCAAACAGGAUUAGAUACCCUGGUAGUCCACACAGUAAACGAUGAAUACUCGCUGUUUGCGAUAUACAGUAA